UGACUAGAAGCAACCGAGGGAAGUUGACGACACAAUAGGGAAUCAACAAAAAUGUCGGAAGAAAUAAAUCACGAUAACCUCAAAAACUCCAAACUAAGGUAAGAACAGUAAACUAAUAUCCAAAAGAUCAAUACAGGAAAAGGGUUGGAGCAAUGGAUUUGAGAUGGUUGCUCUCACACCUGCGAACAAGCUACCCAUCGUCUGGUUGGAUUCAUAUUGUGACAACCCCCUCAACAUCUGACGGUCGACCAAACGGGUAGAAAUGAGUCUUCUGUUUUUUUGUAUCUUCCCAGAGAAAUGCAGAGUAAAGUCUUACCUGACCACCUGCUGGAUUAUUGAGUUUUAAAACACUUGGAGUCCAGCUCACGGUUCUCAUUCUCCCCAAAUUUAAGCUCUUGGACGCUCCUUGUCCAUUGUCAAAGUCUAACUCCAGCUGGUUAAUGUCUGGUUCGGUUCUAGCCGAGUUGAACGCGUCUGUUCGGACAUGAGGAGACUCCACUAAAGUUUUACUGGCGAUUAGCAAGAAAAGAUUGGUGGAUUACCGCCACCUACUGGUAUGGAGUGUGGCUCAAUGUUUAUUUUACACGGUUAAUAUCUGACGAUAUUUUGUUAAUCGACUUUGUUCUCCAUAAAAACCUAAUUGCUAUUUGAAUUUUUAUACUUUCUGAAUUUUCCUGUAGUAUAAUGAUUAAAUUAAAUGUUUCUUUA